rnacentral:rRNA from 1 species
AGCAGCAGCCGCGGUAAGACAGAGGAUGCAAGCGUUGUCCGGAAUUAUUGGGCGUAAAGGGCUCGCAGGCGGCUUCUUAAGUCUGAUGUGAAAGCCCCCGGCUCAACCGGGGAGGGUCAUUGGAAACUGGGAAACUUGAGUGCAGAAGAGGGGAGUGGAAUUCCACGUGUAGCGGUGAAAUGCGUAGAGAUGUGGAGGAACACCAGUGGCAAAGACGACUCUCUGGUCUGUAACUGACGCUGAGGAGCGAAAGCGUGGGGAGCGAACAGGAUUAGAGACCCCGGUAGUCCCUGUCUCUUAUAC